rnacentral:rRNA from 1 species
UACAGAGGGGGCAAGCGUUGUUCGGAAUUACUGGGCGUAAAGGGCGCGUAGGCGGCCUUCUAAGUCAGACGUGAAAUCCCUCGGCUCAACCGGGGAACUGCGUCUGAGACUGGAAGGCUUGAAUCCGGGAGAGGGAUGUGGAAUUCCAGGUGUAGCGGUGAAAUGCGCAGAUAUCAGGAAGAACACCAAUGGCGAAGGCAGCUCUCUGGGACGGUACUGACGCUGAGACGCGAAAGCGUGGGGAGCGAACAGG